GACGAACGCUGGCGGCGUGCCUAAUACAUGCAAGUAGAACGCUGAAGGAGGAGCUUGCUUCUCUGGAUGAGUUGCGAACGGGUGAGUAACGCGUAGGUAACCUGCCUGGUAGCGGGGGAUAACUAUUGGAAACGAUAGCUAAUACCGCAUAAUAGUAGAUGUUGCAUGACAUUUGCUUAAAAGGUGCAAUUGCAUCACUACCAGAUGGACCUGCGUUGUAUUAGCUAGUUGGUGGGGUAACGGCUCACCAAGGCGACGAUACAUAGCCGACCUGAGAGGGUGAAGGGCCACACUGGGACUGAGAACCGGCCCAGACUCCUACGGGAGGCAGCAGUAGGGAACCUUCGGCAAUGGGAGGAAGCUUGACCGAGCAACCCCGGGGGAGUGAAGAAGGUUUUCGGAUCGUAAAACUCUGUUGUAAGGGAAGAACGGUUGGGAGAGUGAAAAGUUCAAACUGGGACGGUAUUAUACCAAAAAGGGACGGCUAACUACGU
rnacentral:rRNA from 1 species